GAUGAAGAACGUAGCGAAAUGCGAUAAGUAAUGUGAAUUGCAGAAUUCAGUGAAUCAUCGAAUCUUUGAACGCACAUUGCGCCCGCCAGUAUUCUGGCGGGCAUGCCUGUCCGAGCGUCAUUUCAACCCUCGAACCCCUCCGGGGGGUCGGCGUUGGGGAUCGGCACUUACCUGCCGGCCCCGAAAUACAGUGGCGGUCUCGCCGCAGCCUCUCCUGCGCAGUAGUUUGCACACUCGCACCGGGAGCGCGGCGCGUCCACGGCCGUAAAACAACCCAAACUUCUGAAAUGUUGACCUCGGAUCAGGUAGGAAUACCCGCUGAACUUAAGCAUAUCAAUAAGCGGGGGA
rnacentral:misc_RNA from 1 species